rnacentral:rRNA from 1 species
AACGAACGCUGGCGGCAUGCCUAACACAUGCAAGUCGAACGAGACCUUCGGGUCUAGUGGCGCACGGGUGCGUAACGCGUGGGAACCUGCCCUUAGGUUCGGAAUAACUCCCCGAAAGGGGUGCUAAUACCGGAUAAUGUCUUCGGACCAAAGAUUUAUCGCCUUUGGAUGGGCCCGCGUUGGAUUAGCUAGUUGGUAGGGUAAAAGCCUACCAAGGCGACGAUCCAUAGCUGGUCUGAGAGGAUGAUCAGCCACACUGGGACAGGGACACGGCCCAGACUCCUACGAGAGGCAGCAGUGGGGAAUAUUAGACAAUGGGCGAAAGCCUGAUCCAGCAAUGCCGGGUGAGUGAUGAAGGCCUUAGGGUUGUAAAGCUCUUCUACCCGGGAUGAUAAUGACAGUACCGGGAGAAUAAGCACCGGCUAACUCCGU